UGUAUAUGGACAUGUUUAGGACGUACAGUCGAGUGCUUAAGACGUAAACCUCACACUUGAGUCUCAAGACGUUUUGCUAGAUACAGAACGUUGGACAUGUGUAGGACGUAACUCUUACGGAACUAAUUAAACCUCACACUUGAGUAUCAGGACGUCAUAUAAUAUUGAUUGGAGUAAUUUCAAAUCAAUUUUAAGAAAGGUGAAAUGGUCUGGUGGACCCUUGUACUUGUAUGCGCUUGUUUUGUGAACCCUUCUGCUUAACAAUUUAUCAACUAAACCAUUAAAGUCAAUAAAGAUACAAUAUAUUUAACCUUCUGACCAUUGACCAGACUUUUAUGACAUUAAGAUGGUUGAGUUGGCAAAAGAGUAUGGCCACACACUGCACUUCAUAUUUAAAUUUAAAAAAUAUUUUAAAAUAAAAUUUUCAAUUAUAAAAAAACUAAAAACUAAAAUUAAAAAAUUAAUUUUUUUUAAAAAAAAAGGUAUUCUUCUUCCUUCAACUUCAGCCGCCAUCCUCAUUCUUGUCCAACCCCUUUUUCCUUCUUCUAUACACUUAUUAUCACCUUUAUCAUGAUAUUGACAUCUUUUUUUUGACACAUUUCAAGUUAUUAUUACGGAAAAAAGAAAGCGACGUUAAUUUCAUGGUGGUAUUCAUCGGAAUCUACUGAUUCAAAAUGGAGUAAGAGAGAGACACGACACUGAUCCUUUUUCACCAGAACAAGAGGCAGCAAGGGAGUUAUUCGUACGACUGAUAGGAUGGAGAAAAGAGGCGGCCUCUGGUGGCUCGCAGAUGUCGCCGGUGCUGUUUCAGCUUAGGAUUACUAAUUUUGUGGAGGUAGAAGAAAGAGGAAAGGAAAAUAGUGAGGUUUGCAGUGGAGAAAAGAGGCGGCCUCUGGUGGCUCGCAGAUGUCGCCGGUGGUGUUUCAGCUUAGGAUUACUAAUUUUGUGGAGGUAGAAGAAAGAGGAAAGGAAAAUAGUGAGGUUUGCAAUGGAGAAAAGAGGCGGCCUCUGGUGGCUCGCAGAUGUCGCCGGUGGUGUUUCAGCUUAGGAUUACUAAUUUUGUGGAGGUAGAAGAAAGAGGAAAGGAAAAUAGUGAGGUUUGCAAUGGAGAUGGAGAUCUGCAGGUCUUGCCAGCAUGAAAAGCGGUGGCGGCGACUACAGAUUUAGAUGUUACAUUGAAGCGAAGUGUGAAGUCCCAAAA